CGAGGGGACUGAGUAUGACCGAGAGUUGUCCGGUAUAAUAGGACUCCGGGAACAUGGCCGCCGCCGACUCCUAUUUUCUGCUCCUGCUGCAGCUACUGUCACGCCAGGGCUACGGCAUAAUGGCGGCUGAGUGACAUGUAUAUGUGUGUUCCUGCCCUGUAUGCUGGGCACUGUGAUGAACAAGGACAGGAGACAAAACACUAAGAGGAUACUAAAUCUCACCCUGGAGAUCAUCUACCUGCUGACUGGGGAGAUGGGCCCAGUAACAGAGAUACCCCAGAGAGAUGUCCCCGUCCUCUGUAUUCCCAGGAUUGUACAGAGAAGAAUCACAGGAACCCACAGGAGGAUCAGGGUGACGAUCUGACUAAUAUUAAGAUAGAAGAUACAGAGGGAGAAGAAGAGACGUAUGUGAGAGAUGAUCAGCAAUGUAAGGAGGAGGAAAUCCCUACAGAUAUCAGUACAGUUGAGCAAUAAACAUGUAUUACAGAAAA